rfam:Trichophyton equinum CBS 127.97 supercont1.4 genomic scaffold, whole genome shotgun sequence.
GUCUCUGUGGCGUAAUUGGCUAGCGCGUACGACUGUUAAGAACGAUUCAACAAGAAAGAAGUUCGGUCAUCGUAAGGUUGGAAGUUCGAGCCUUCCCAGGGACG